rnacentral:snRNA from 1 species
GUAUCUGCUUGGGCAGUACAUAUACUAAAAUUGGAACGAUACAGAGAAGAUUAGCAUGGCCCCUGCGCAAGGGAUGACACGCAAAAUCGUGAAGCGUUCCUUAUUUUU